rnacentral:lncRNA from 1 species
GCAGCUACACAUUUCUCAAUCUAAAAAAAUAGGCUACAGCAGCCCAAAUUCACUGUCUCAGCCUUGGUGGGGCAUAAUAUUUUGGAAUGGCAAGUGCCAAAAAAUUUAAAUGUACUGGGCAAGCCUGCUUUGUGUAGUUGACUCUAAUGCCUUUAAAAAUACUGGCAUGAUUUUUUAUAUUCAAGAAGUACAGCUAUGAAAUUUUAAAAUAAAAUUACAUGAAGUUUUUUAAUAUUCCAAACCACAAAACAGAUCUGCUAUGUUGUAGACUUUUUUAAUAGCCUAUUUGAGAUUUAACUCUGCUACGCCAAACAUCUUUCUUCUAAAUGUCCAUGCUUUGAAUUUUGUGCUCCAAAUUAAUUAAUUCAGAAUGAGUGGGAAAAUGUUUAACCAUCUUUCCUUCUUUUCAGUGUUUCUCUCUUUUCUCUUACCAUCCCCCCACC